rnacentral:rRNA from 1 species
CCUACGGGAGGCAGCAGUGGGGAAUAUUGCACAAUGGGGGAAACCCUGAUGCAGCGACGCCGCGUGAGUGAAGAAGUAUUUCGGUAUGUAAAGCUCUAUCAGCAGGGAAGAAAGUGACGGUACCUGCCUAACAAGCACCGGCUAACUACGUGCUAGCAGCAGCGGUAAUACGUCGGGGGCAAGCGGUAUCCGGAUUUACUGGGUGUAAAGGGAGCGUCGUUGGCGAUUAAGGUCCGAAGUGAAAACCCAGGGCUUAAUCAUGGAACUGCUCUUGAGACUGGGGAGCUUGAGUGUGGGAGAGGCAGGCGGAAUUCCUAGUGUAGCAGUGAAAUGCGUAGAUAUGAGGAGGAACACCGGUGGCGAAGGCGGCCUGCUGGACCGUAACUGACGUUGAGGCACGAAAGCGUGGGGAGCAAACAGGAUUAGAUACCCCAGUAGUC